rnacentral:tRNA from 1 species
GCAUUGGUAGUUCAGUGUUAGAAUUCUCCCCUUCCAUGUAGGAGACCGGGGUUCAACUCCCAGUGAGUGCA